rnacentral:rRNA from 1 species
CAUAUCAAUAAGCGGAGGAAAAGAAACCAACAGGGAUUGCCUCAGUAACGGCGAGUGAAGCGGCAAGAGCUCAAAUUUGAAAGCUGGCUCCUUCGGGGUCCGCAUUGUAAUUUGCAGAGGAUGCUUCGGGAGCGGCCCCCAUCUAAGUGCCCUGGAACGGGCCGUCAUAGAGGGUGAAAAUCCCGUCUGGGAUGGGGUGUCCGCGCCCGUGUGAAGCUCCUUCGACGAGUCGAGUUGUUUGGGAAUGCAGCUCUAAAUGGGUGGUAAAUUUCAUCUAAAGCUAAAUAUUGGCCGGAGACCGAUAGCGCACAAGUAGAGUGAUCGAAAGAUGAAAAGCACUUUGAAAAGAGAGUUAAACAGCACGUGAAAUUGUUGAAAGGGAAGCGCUUGCGACCAGACUCGCCCACGGGGUUCAGCCGGCAUUCGUGCCGGUGUACUUCCCCGCGGGCGGGCCAGCGUCGGUUUGGGCGGCCGGUCAAAGGCCCUCGGAAUGUAACGCCCCCCGGGGCGUCUUAUAGCCGAGGGUGCCAUGCGGCCAGCCCAGACCGAGGAACGCGCUUCGGCUCGGACGCUGGCAUAAUGGUCGUAAGCGACCCGUCUUGAAACACGGACCAAGGAGUCUAACAUCUACGCGAGUGUUCGGGUGUCAAACCCGUGCGCGCAGUGAAAGCGAACGGAGGUGGGAACCCCUCGGGGUGCACCAUCGACCGAUCCUGAUGUCUUCGGAUGGAUUUGAGUAUGAGCGUAGCUGUUGGGACCCGAAAGAUGGUGAACUAUGCCUGAAUAGGGUGAAGCCAGAGGAAACUCUGGUGGAGGCUCGCAGCGGUUCUGACGUGCAAAUCGAUCGUCAAAUUUGGGUAUAGGGGCGAAAGACUAAUCGAG